rnacentral:rRNA from 1 species
GACGAACGCUGGCGGCGUGCUUAACACAUGCAAGUCGAACGAAGAGCGAUGGAAGCUUGCUCCUAUCAAUCUUAGUGGCGAACGGGUGAGUAACGCGUAAUCAACCUGCCCUUCAGAGGGGGACAACAGUUGGAAACGACUGCUAAUACCGCAUACGAUCUAAACUCGGCAUCGAGGAUAGAUGAAAGGUGGCCUCUACAUGUAAGCUAUCACUGAAGGAGGGGAUUGCGUCUGAUUAGCUAGUUGGAGGGGUAACGGCCCACCAAGGCGAUGAUCAGUAGCCGGUCUGAGAGGAUGAACGGCCACAUUGGGACUGAGACACGGCCCAGACUCCUACGGGAGGCAGCAGUGGGGAAUCUUCCGCAAUGGAUGAAAGUCUGACGGAGCAACGCCGCGUGAGUGAUGACGGCCUUCGGGUUGUAAAGCUCUGUUAAUCGGGACGAAAGGCCUUCUUGCGAAUAGUGAGAAGGAUUGACGGUACCGGAAUAGAAAGCCACGGCUAACUACGUG